rnacentral:tRNA from 1 species
GGGAAGGUAGCUCAACCUGGGAGAGCACACGAUGGAGAACCGUGAUGUUGUGGGUUCAAAUCCCACUCUUCCCA